rnacentral:lncRNA from 10 species
UCCAGCAUGCAUCUAUUCACCAAUAUAUUAUUUAUCGCCUGGCUUUUCUACUAGGCAACGGACCUGGACCAGAGCGUGCUGUAGGCCACAGUCAGUGCCGGCCCACCCAGAACUGGCCACUCAGCGGUUACCCAUCUCUAUCGCUUUCUUUCCCAGAGUCGGAAACUUGGAACCACUUUCAACUUUUCCUCUUCUGCUUCCCCUCUAGGUUCCACAGGGGGGCCUCGCUGCUGGGCAGGGGCCUCCGGGCUCCUCCAUCCUCCUCCGCCCAGCUCUGCCCUCCCAGCGAGGAAUCUCCUGUGGAACAUGGUGGGAUCUCAUUGUCCCUGCUGCAGGAAGUGGAGCAAAGAAACCGAGG